AUGAAUAAAAGCUCUACCAAUAAUGAGACCUCUAGCACUGCAUUGAUAAGCUCAUCUAAACACCCAUAUCUAUCAUCAAUAAAAGAAAACCCUAUUCUUCGUCUUUAUGACGCCGCCCACAUACUUGCAAGAUAAUUUUACAAUCUAAUAAUAUCUUCUCUCCUCAGAGAAAGGCGUUCGAAAAUGAUUUCACUCUUAGAGACUCCUUCAUUGUUUGAAGUUGGAGGGGAAGGAAACAACGGUGAAAUUGCAGAGCGAAGGCAGAUUUUGUGCAGAUCUAAACUCUCCCCCCAAUCGGCACGAUAACCAGCAAGCUCAAGGAAUGUGUUUCGUUCUUUUCAAACUCAAUCGAUUCUGAAGGCAUUCGAAAACAAUCUAACUCCUAGAGGCUCCUUUAUCGUUAGAAGUUGGAGGAAAAAGAAAUAACGGUGGAAUUGCAGAGUGAAAGCAAAUCCCGUGCAAAUCUGUAUUCCCCACUAAAUUGCGCGAUAAUGGACAAUCUCAAGGAAUGGGUUCUAUUCUUUCAAAACCCAAUAGAUUAUCAGAUCCAGAGAAAGCAUGGAUGCGAAAAGACAACGACAUGGAUAAUAAUAGGUCUACAGAGAAAGAGGGAGAGGAAAAAGGAUAAAGUGAGGCUCAACCACAAGAAAUAAAGAUAAAUUUCAAAACCCUUUCAUUGAUUCCUUUUGAAAUAUUAGCUGUCUUUUACGUGUUUAAUUUGUUUAACAUAUCAAUUUUGAUGGUUUGAUUAAUAUUUUAGAUAUCUAAUUAGCAUUUUGAUCUCUGUGUUAAUUCACAGAUCAAAAGGAGACUUUCUAAAUCAGUUUAUGAGAGGUAUUACAAAAAAAGAGUUUCUAGACAAAGUAAUCUGUUUUUAACAAUUUCAUUUCAAUGUCUCAGUUAAUGCUUUCCAAUGAGAUGCAUAUUGCAUAGUGAGAAACAGGAAAGGAAUUGGAGGGUUAACUCAGUAAAAGAGCACAUCCAAAAUUAAAUUGGAUUUCACUGGAAUAGUCACUGUUUGGAGGCUGCUUUAUUUUAUUGUAGAUAUAAUAAUUUGAUAUGUGAGUUAAAACUCAUAUCAGAAUCCUUCUCUUAUACUCUUGUAAAUUUGGUAUGAGUUGUGAUAAUUUGUAAGGUGGAGUAUUCCUUUUAAAUUAAAAAAAUCAAUCUAAUUUAAUUAAUUUAAAUUUU